rnacentral:rRNA from 1 species
UGGGGAAUUUUGGACAAUGGGCGCAAGCCUGAUCCAGCCAUGCCGCGUGUCUGAAGAAGGCCUUCGGGUUGUAAAGGACUUUUGUCAGGGAAGAAAAGGGCGGGGUUAAUACCCCUGUCUGAUGACGGUACCUGAAGAAUAAGCACCGGCUAACUACGUGCCAGCAGCCGCGGUAAUACGUAGGGUGCGAGCGUUAAUCGGAAUUACUGGGCGUAAAGCGGGCGCAGACGGUGACUUAAGCAGGAUGUGAAAUCCCCGGGCUCAACCUGGGAACUGCGUUCUGAACUGGGUGACUAGAGUGUGUCAGAGGGAGGUAGAAUUCCACGUGUAGCAGUGAAAUGCGUAGAGAUGUGGAGGAAUACCGAUGGCGAAGGCAGCCUCCUGGGAUAACACUGACGUUCAUGCCCGAAAGCGUGGGUAGCAAACA